UAUUGAUAAAGGCAACAGUCGUGCUGUGAUCCGUCCAGUGUGACGCUAGCACUUUGUCAUUGGCUAUGGAUCAGCUCUAACCACUUAUUUUUCCUUUUAGCUUAAAAAAAUACAGAAAAAUAUUUUAAGUUGGAGCGUUGUGGUUGCAAGGGAAGCGUGGUUGAGGCUGGCCCUGACCUGUUGUCAUGACACCAACAUCCUAGGUGGGGGCUGUACAGGAAGCUGCUGUUGGAGUUAUGUGCUUUUAGUGAGAGGACAUUCAACAAACAAUAUGCCAAAAGUCGAUGGAAAUGGAUUAACAGUCAUUCACCAGUGCCAAACUAAUUGAAAGUGACUAGAUACAUACAUGAGGAUUGUUUGCCACUGCGGUAGAUAUGUGCUCUGCUGCACUCCUCCCAACUUGCUGAAUGGAAUCAUGACUCGAGAAGUAAACCAUUUUCACCACAGGAUGGCAGUCUGCGUUCCCCAGUUCUGUCAUCUUAGAAAGAGUGGACUAUUAUAAAUGCUUUUAGGGCUUGCGUGAAUGGAUCUUAAACUUCAAGAACUUGGUGGGUAGCUCUGCGAAUACAAUCUGCCAACAAAAAAUGUUUAUACAUGUUUUUGUGUUGUUUACACUGUUUCCCUUUAAGCUGAUAAUCCGUCGUUGCGUGGCAAAGAAGUACCAUCACUUUUGAGUUCAAAAGAUCUGCUUUGCUUGAUACAGAAAUCUAAGUGGAAAUUUUACAGCAUGUGGUAAAGAAUAUGCUCCAGUAUGUUAUCGCCCAAAGUUGUUUAGUGUAUGUUCAAGCACUUGUUAUUCUUUGUAUGUCUUUAAUAAAAUAUUAAUA